rnacentral:lncRNA from 1 species
AUAGAUAGAUAGAUAGAUAGAUAGAUAGAUAGAUAGAUAGAUAGAUAGAUAGAUAGAUAGAUAGAUAGAUAGAUGUCGCUUGGUUUCUUUCCUCCUAGGCUGGCGGGUAUCCAACUCCCAACUGGAGGCUGCCUGGAAAUUGGCCGUCCGAAGGGGCGAGACCUGGCUGCCUCCCCGUGUUCCGAACUCAAGGCCUGGGUGUGCGAAGGGCCAUGGGCGCCCUGGAGCCCCUGCCCGACAGAGAGAGGGUGGAGCCACUGGAACGGGAGCUGCUACUUCUGGGACCCGUUGUUGUCGGUGGGCAGCUGGACGGAUGCCCUGCGGGCCUGCCGGCGGUUCAAGGGGACGGAGCUGCUGUCCCUGAGGUCGCCCCAGGAGAGGGAUUGGGUCCACCGGAACUUCAGAGGCUCUUUCUGGACGGGCUUGAACGAUCGGAAAGCAGAAUCCGUCUUUCGCUGGACAACGGAAGAGCCCCUGAGCCGGGAGAUGGCCCCGUGAGUGUCCGUGCGAUCUGCGACUCCUCCAACUGAAGAGUGGCUGAGGAGAAGCCGAACGAUCCUCAGCCUGAGCCCAAGACAGUCCCCGUUACACCCCUCCAGCCCCGGGCCCCGCACCGGCAGUCUUUCAGGCUUAGUAGCAUGGCUUGGUGGGUUGUGACGGCACUUGGCAAUCCUUCCUCAGCGGAAGAUGAUGGGGCAGAGUUAGCCCCAGGGGCGGUGACUCCCACAGGGGUGUGGCGAGCAGCUUCCUCGGAGAGCAGCGCAUGCUGCAGGAUCAGGACCUGAGGACUGGCAAACAGCCAGGAGUCUUGCGGCACCUUGAAAACCUUUGGUCAUUCUUUGGCAUCAUCCUUCAUGGACUGCAGCUGGCUUCGCCAGGCGCCUCAAGCAAAGUCUCGCUAGACCAACAUUUGUGCCUGCAUCCUGAGUAUCGCUUAUUAUUGUUGUUGUUGUUGUUAUUGCCACAGGAGACUGUGUAGACGAAGGCAAGCGCCCUUCUAGAAACGGCUUAGGUUAUUAGGAAGCCAAAAGAUCCAGCCAUGCUCAGGUUCCCUUAUCCACCCAGUUAAAACCAGACCCUUCCCAGUGCAUGAUUGGAACAAUACUGAUGCCAUCCAGACCUAUUCACAGGCCCCGGUGCCAACCUUCCCCCCCCAAGAGGCUGAAUGCAAGGGUGGAUUUCUCCUGGGGCUUUCAAAAGGUCCUCGUUUACGUUUGUGCAGUCCGAGUCAGAGCUUCUCCCUCCCCACUCCUCUUUUGUUUUACGUGGGAAAGGUAUCUGCGGGACGACCUGGCAGAUGGUGGCCUGAAGGACUGCGUGUGGUUCGAGGCGGCCACCGGCCUUCUCCGCGACGCCCCUUGCGAGGAGGAGCGGCCCUUCUUGUGCAAACGCAGCGAAGGUGAGCGAAACAGGGGGGACUGGGCUUGUUGGGCGAAGAAGCAAAGCGCUGGUUCGCAAUCCCGGCGGCUUCUUCGAGCAGCCCUCGAAAGAAAGGCCA